UCUUCCUUCAUCGCCAACAAGAAGGAUCUGGGUGUCUCUGCUUUCUCUUCAACGUCGUCGCCAUUUUCUAUUCCCAAAUGCAGGAAAUCAAUUUCCAAGAAAAUUGUAUCUGUCAUGGCUCCCCAGCAAUCAGAGCGCAAACCUGCCACCACUGGCUCGGUGAAGAUAGCAAUGACGAUGACAGAGAAAAUAUUGGCUAGGGCCUCUGAGAAGCCUCAGUUGAGCCCAGG
rnacentral:misc_RNA from 1 species